GGAAAUCUGUCAUUGUCUAAGAUGAACAUAUCAAGGAUUAACUCUCUAAGGAACAAAGUAGGGAUUACAACUACCUUUUUACUGGGUAGAAUACCAAAGAAGAGAAUAUCUGUCACUGGUUAAAGUGAACAUAUCAAGGAUAGACUCCUACAGGUGAAAAGAAAGAUAUUCGUCACCGGUUAGGAUGAACAUAUCAAGGAUAUACUUCCAGGGGACUCCACUGAGGAGAAAAAGGGUACUUUUGUCGGGUAUUGGGCAAGAAGUAAC
rnacentral:lncRNA from 1 species